rnacentral:tRNA from 1 species
GGAUGCUUAGCUCAGCGGUAGAGCGUCGCCCUUACAAGGCGAGGGUCGUAGGUUCGAUCCCUACAGCAUCCACCA